rnacentral:tRNA from 1 species
GCUUUUAAAGGAAAAUAGUACUCCCCUGGUCUUAGGCUCCAACAUCUCUUGGUGCAAACCCAAGUAAAAGCU